rnacentral:rRNA from 1 species
CGGACGGGUGAGUAACACGUGAGUAACCUGCCUUUACACAGGGAUAGCCUCGGGAAACCGGGAUUAAAACCUGAUGAAACUAAUCAAAUCACAUGAUUAAGAAAGUUAAAACUCCGGUGGUAAAAGAUGGACUCGCGUCCCAUUAGCUAGUUGGUGAAGGUAACGGCCCACCAAGGCAACGAUGGGUAGCCGGCCUGAGAGGGUGAACGGCCACAUUGGAACUGAGAAACGGUCCAAACUCCUACGGGAGGCAGCAGCG